GUAUCUGUAGCUCAGCUGGAUAGAGCAACGCCCUUCUAAGGCGUGGGGCGGGGGUUCGAAUCCCUUCAGAUACGCCA
rnacentral:tRNA from 1 species